AUCUUGCGCUGUGAUGGCACACGGUGGAAUUUCACCAGUAAUAUGGGAGUUUUCAAAAUUGGAUUUGUUUUCGAAUUCUUUGUGGAUCUCACUCAGUCAGACAAAGUGGUGCAGUUAUAAGAAUGGUAUCAUUCACAGGCUGAUUAACAGGGGUGUGAUGACGAAACAGAUGUCUCUGUUAGAACUGUGACCCCAGGCGGUGCCACCUCAACUAUUUCCUGGUAACCCCCAGGUCGCCAAAAGAAGUGAAACCUUUGAGAGCAGAGGGGACAAGGACCCCAUUGAUGGGAGGAGAGACAGAAAUGGGGAUGGGGAAAAGGAAGGGUAGAUGGGGGGGUGAGGUCACGGUAAUGAAAGAAAGAUAUUCCCCCCAAUUUCUUAAGGACGAGAUCAUAUGGCAUAAUGGUAGAGUUGUGAAGGUGGCCACUAUCUCUCCACACACAGGAGGCCUUUAUGGCUGCUCAGGUAAUUGUGGGGUGUGGGGUUAAGGAUCAGUUACUUGUGUGUGUGUGUGGUGUGUGUGUGUGUGUGUGUGUGUGUGUGUGUGUGGUGUGUGUGUGUGUGUGUGUGGGUGCGUGCGCAGGUGCCCGUCUACCUUCCUAGGACCGUUCAGCUAUGAAGGGACUCACCCAUCCUCCUUCCUUCGAUUCCUCCAUUCAUUGUNUCCCUCCACCUCUUACUACAACAGCUGGGGAGACCCCCUGCCCUGGACGCUACGUGACUGAGGGGCUGCACUGUGCUGGUGACAACACACACCUCCCUCUCUCAGUGUGUUUGAUGAGUGGUAUCAGUGAGGGGCAGCAGCAGCGUCAGCUGUGAUAAUGCUGAGUGUCAGGAAGUGUCUCGGACAUUCUCAUCUCUCUAAUGGCUGUUAACUGCUGAUCCAACACUGAUUAGACCAGAAAGACUGUCUCCUUUUAAUGGACUAAACACACACACUUUUUAAUGCUUAACGGCAGUAGUGUUCGAUAAAUGUCUUUGGUGCCGUGUAUCUCUCCUGCUCCUCCUGUCAAGAGGACACACCAACUCCCCCCACCCCACCUAUGAUAACUAACUCAUAACAUGCCUGCAUCUUCUCUCUCCCUCCGUGCUCUGCUCUAUCAUAAGCAGCAACACUAGUUAGAUCCCUGGCUCCCGAUAAAACACAGAAAGUGUUUUAACUCCAGAACAAGGAGCAGGGUGUUUUCUUCAGUGAGUCAUAACAAAACAACUAUCCAGACUGAAGGGACGCUGUGAUCCCUGUCAGAGAUUUAUCAGCACAGAGAAGAUGAACAGCCUUUCUGUCUUUUUGUGUCCUCUAGCAUUGUUUCAUUGGUCCCGCCGUACCACACUCACCUAGUCUACGACAAUGGAGCACACACACACACACACCCUCCUCCUCCUAGUGACUCUUGGGGAGCAGAUAUACAGUACUGACCAUAGCGGCUGCAGGUCCCAUUGAUUUUGUUUAGUGAGGAAAAUCAAGACAUUGGCUGUAGAGCUUGUAUGUAUGUGUGUGUGUAUGUAUGUAUGUAUGUAUGUAUGUAUGUAUGUAUGUAUGUGUGUGUGUGAGUGUGUGUGUGUGUGUGUGUGUGUGUCCCAAUCCUAAGCCCCUGGGGAAUGUCCUAGUAGAGUGUAUAGUAUAGGAUACAGCAUAUACAGAGAUAACAUCCCAGACACUGGGGAGACUGUCUAUGAGUCCCAAUGACUGGAAGAGACUCUACAGUGGAACUUACUGUAUGACUGAUGUUACUGCCACUACGCACUUAUACAAUCACAAGUUGCUGGGACUUUGGCUACAUUAGCUGCAAAAAAACGUGCACGCACACA
ensembl:lncRNA